UACGUAGGGAGCGAGCGUUGUCCGGAUUUAUUGGGCGUAAAGCGCGCGUAGGCGGUUCGGUAAGUCGGAUGUGAAAACUUCAAGCUCAACUUGGAGCCUGCAUCCGAAACUGCUGUGACUUGAGUCUGGGUAGGGGAACACGGAAUACCUGGUGUAGCGGUGAAAUGCUUAGAUAUCAGGUGGAACACCAGUGGCGAAGGCGGUGUUCUGGGCCAGUACUGACGCUGAGGCGCGAAAGCGUGGGGGAGCGAACAGGA
rnacentral:rRNA from 1 species